CCUACGGGAGGCAGCAGUAGGGAAUCUUCCACAAUGGGCGAAAGCCUGAUGGAGCAACGCCGCGUGGGUGAAGAAGGUCUUCGGAUCGUAAAACCCUGUUGUUAGAGAAGAAAGUGCGUGCGAGUAACUGUUCACGUUUCGACGGUAUCUAACCAGAAAGCCACGGCUAACUACGUGCCAGCAGCCGCGGUAAUACGUAGGUGGCGAGCGUUAUCCGGAUUUAUGGGGGGUAAAGGGAACGCAGGCGGUCUUUUAAGUCUGAUGUAAAAGCCUUCGGCUUAACCGGAUUAGUGCAUUGGAAACUGGGAGACUUGAGUGCAGAAGAGGAGAGUGGAACUCCAGGUGUAGCGGUGAAUGCGUAGAUAUAUGGAAGAACACCAGUGGCGAAAGCGGCUCUCUGGUCUGUAACUGACGCUGAGGUUCGAAAGCGUGGGUAGCAAACAGGAUUAGAUACCCUAGUAGUC
rnacentral:rRNA from 1 species